CUUGUUAACAGUGAUGUGGGUAAUCCUGAGGUAGAAGUCAAGGUUGUGGGUGAUGCAAGAUCUACUCAAAUUGAGGAAUUUGGCUGUCAGCAGGAACUCCAAAAUGCUGUUUCAGAAGAUACGAAGUUCUUUUGCUCCCAGGCAUCAGAUCUUGGAAUUGUAAUGGCCCGGAAUUUCCCUGCAAUAUCAUCAGAAAUUUGUAUUACAGAGGAAGCUCGGCAAGAUGAUGGUGCCAGCAUGUCUGAACCACUUGCUCAGCUUCAUUAUGUAGAGGAAGAUCAGGAACAGUCUGCAAAAGAUGAAUCUGGGUCGGCGACUGCCACAACCACGUCGCAACUACAAACACCAAAUGCAAAGUCAAGAAAACAGGAAUGGAAGAUUAUGCAAAUAUCAGGUCCAUCUUCCCCAUCAUUAGGUGUGCUCAACUCAGUAGAGUCUUUCAAUGAAGCAGGUGGGAGUUUGAGUCCCCCCUCAAGAGAAGCUGCAGUUCCUCGACGUACGGCCAUGCAUGAUCUGGUAAAACAGGUGGGCAUUUAAUUAUCUUGCACAUGUCUGCUCACGUACCAGUUAUUUUCGGCUUAAGUUAGUAAAGCAGGCUUAGUAUCUUCUCCAAAAUUAUGCUACUGCCAUUUAAGUUGGUCUUCAAGUCAUUUGUUAUUUGGUGAACUGGUAUAUUAGUAUGUUAAUUUGUGUCUCAUUCACCUGCCUUUAUCAUGGGAUGAGCAAAAGGUUCUAUGUUUGCAUGUGUUGUGGUUGUGUUUUGUGUAAUCAAGCCUUGUUUUCUUGUCCAGUAUCCUUUCUGUUAACUAUGGCUCCUCAUCAUAUGUGCAGCUAUGUGAUGAGGAAAAAGAAUACUUGCAAAAGCUGAGGGCAAGGGCGGCUACUGUCUUAGAUAGAAUAAAGAAGGAAGAAGCUGAAAAGAAGAAGAAAAUUGCAAAAGAUGAAGUAUCUAGUGUGCUCAAUCUUCCUAUCAUGUUCAAACGUCCAAUCCAUGGGGAUGCGAGAAUCCAAGAUGUGCUUGUUAACAGUGAUGUGGGUAAUCCUGAGGUAGAAGUCAAGGUUGUGGGUGAUGCAAGAUGUACUCAAAUUGAGGAAUUUGGCUGCCAGCAGGAACUCCAAAAUGCUGUUUCAGAAGAUAAGAAGUUCUUUUGCUCCCAGGCAUCAGACCUUGGAAUUGUAAUGGCCCGGAAUUUCCCUGCAAUAUCAUCAGAAUUUUGUAUUACAGAGGAAGCUUGGCAAGGUGAUGGUGCCAGCAUGUCUGAACCACUUGCUCAGCUUCAUUAUGUAGAGGAAGAUCAGGAACAGUCUGCAAAAGAUGAAUCUGGGUUGGCGACUGCCACAACCACAUUGCAACUACAAACACCAAAUGCAAAGUCAAGAAAACAGGAAUGGAAGAUUAUGCAAAUAUCAGGUCCAUCUUCCCUGUCAUUAGGUGUGCUCAACUCAGUAGAGUCCUUCAAUGAAGCAGGUGGGAGUUUGAGUCCCCCCUCAAGAGAAGCUGCAGUUCCUCAACGUACGGCCAUGCAUGAUCUGGUAAAACAGGUGGGCAUUUAAUUAUCUUGCACAUGUCUAUUCACGUACCAAUUAUUUUUGGCUUAAGUUAGUAAAGCAGUCUUAGUAUCUUCUCCAAAAUUAUGCUACUGCCAUUUAAGUCGGUCUUCAAGUCAUUUAUUAUUUGGUGAACUGGUAUAUUAGUAUGUUAUUUUGUGUCUCAUUUCACCUGCCUAUAUCUUGGGAUGAGCAAAAGGUUCUAUGUUUGCAUGUGUUGGGGUUGUGUUUUGUGUAACCAAACCUUGUUUUCUUGUCCAGUAUCCUUUCUGUUAACUAUGGUUUUUCAUCAUAUGUGCAGCUAUGUGAUAAGGAAAGAGAAUACUUGCAAAAGCUGAGGGCAAGGGCGGCUACUGUCUCAGAUAGAAUGAAGGAUGAAGAAGCUGAAAAGAAGAAGAAAAUUGCAAAAGAUGAAGUAUCUGGUGUGCUCAAUCCUCGGAUCAUGUUCAAACAUCCAACCCAUCCAAUAACUCCCUCUGAGAUUUUAAUGGGUGCUUCUCCCUCUGAGAGUACAAGUACAUGGGCAGCUAAUGGAACUGGUUGGUGGUAAACCUGAUCGAACUGCUUGAGGGGGAUGCGAGAAUCCAAGAUGUGCUUGUUAACAGUGGUGUGGGUAAUCCUGAGGUAGAAGUCAAAGUUGUGGGGAAGCAGGAUCUACCCAAAUUGAU
rnacentral:lncRNA from 1 species